GGGAAGUGAUGAUUGGGUUUAUCUCUCGCUUUUUAAUGCGUGAAGAGCGUUCCGCUCAAACCUCUUACGACAAUUGGGCGCUCCAAUUUUCAUUUAAUCUGAUCCC
rfam:Brassica napus, WGS project CCCW01000000 data, contig: 16958